UUUGCUAAGUCAUUUUAUUAUGCUAAAAAAGAACCAAUGAAAAAAUUUAAAAUGGCAGGACAGACAUAAUGUGAAAAAAGAAAGCAAUAUGGCGGAUAAACUGUGAACGUGUGUAGCUUGGUAAAACCUGGCUGUGUAAUUUCCUGAUGUUCAUAUUAUACUAACAAAUCUAGUUAAAUUUGUAAUUUUAAAAUUGAAGUUAAAACGCAAAAUUUAAAUUUCUUUAGAAUAUGACAAAAGCGCAUGCGCAUUAUGCAUCUUGUUCAUCUGAAUAUGCACCGUGUGCAUCACAAAUUUGGGUAUAUAUUUCAAGGAGAAAAAUAGCUUCUGUGUCACGACACAGCCCAAUAAUAUUGGCGCAAAAACAGUGGGCGGGAACGUACUGUAGAUUUUUUUGAAGGUCUACUUGAUGACCAAGGAACAUAGAUAUCUCAUUGUGACGAGAUAUUUUUCAUUUCAUUUGUUCAAGGAUCCAGUGUCAUAAUUAAAACAUUUUUUAGGCAAGUGCAAUGCCAAGCAAUGUAAACUAAAUAACUGAUUGGAGCAUGCACCUCUAACCGUGUGAAAAUCUGUAAUGUCUCGUAUGGAAAUGCACUGUCAUCUGCAUUUGAUUGCACAUAUUGAAUGCACAUUGGUGAGCACUGGAGUGUAUCAUUUGUGUGUAUGCACAGCGAUAGGAUAUUGUAUGGUUAAAAAGAUGUUGAUAGUUGCUGUAUUUUCCCGCCAAAGGUCACAUUCAUUCUGGCGGUAGUCACCAAUGGUCGCCAUCUUGGUUGUCUGGGGAAGUGCGAGUUGGCCAUGUCAUCUGCUGUAGUUGUUUGCUGUUGUACUGAAAUGGAUUAAGGAACUUCUUUAUGAAUAGAAAGAUUAUGACGAAAGUGUAUGUCUGCUAAUAGAUUGUCAAAUGUUCUGCAAAAAUCAAGAAUGUUAUCCGUUUGGAAGUGGAAACAGGAUUUGACUGCUGACAAAUUAUCGAAAGCCAAGGAAAGUCCAGUAAAAGUCAAGAUUUUUUUUCCGUUUGGAAGUGGAAACAGAUGUGAAGAAUGGAUUAAGGUUCUAAGGAGUACCACCCAAGAGGCCGAGUAGCGAUUUUUGAUGAAGACGAUUAAAAGAAGGAGAAAGAUAAUGAAAAGAGAGAAAGAAAGUGUAAAGACAGAAGGAGAAAGAAGAUGUAAAGAUUGAGCAGACAAAAGAUAAACGUUCUCUGAACACAUGGUGUGUCUUCCUCUACAUUUAUGUCAGCCAUAUUGAAUGAUUAUACAAUACUAAGGGAGAUAACUCAAGUUUCCUUAGAAGGAGAAUGUAAAAAGCCUGAAGUUGAUUAAGACAUUGGAUAAAGAAGGUAAAGCCACAUGGUUUUGUUAAAGGUCAUAGGCGUUCUUAACGCCGCCUAGCAGCACAUUUUUAUAGAAACAGUUGAAAAGAACUAAUAAAAGACGUCUGACAGAGAGAGAUUAUAGUAAGUAACCCUGUAUUUAUUAAUAACAGUAAUUGAUAUUAGCGUCAGAUUCCUUUUUGUCAAAGCUUGCCGACCAAAUGUCACAAUACUUAUACUCGAGAUCUUAAGCCAUUCUAGAAAGAAAGUAAUUAUAGUCUUUCCUAUUAUUUGAAAUUCAGAAAAGGUCUUCUUGCCGGUUAUAAAGAUUCUAAUUGUCUGGGUUUGAUUGUUUGUAAUUCGAUGAUAAUCAGCGAGUGUACUGCUUCGUCUGUCCCUAGCUGCUCUGACCGAAAAAUGAGCAAAACUCAGUCAUUAAAAGCUGGACAAAUAAAUUUUUGUUUAUAACAGAUAAUUAUAUUUUAGUGGUGUUUUUCGGUGAUUAGUUGUACUUUUGCCAUUGAUGUGGGUGUUUGUCAGAGUGUUCCGUUACAGAUAUAGGCUAGACUUAAAUCUGUUAAUUGAUCAAAACCAUCAUACAAAUGACAUUUUAUUAAAUAAUUGGGUGUUGCACAAAUGCGAAGUUGUCCAGUGUUUUUAAA